CAAAUGCCCUGCUUCCAGGAAAAGCCUCUAAGCAUCAGGUAACAUCAAAUCGUACCCCAAACCGACACAGGUGGUCAGGUAGAGAAUACCAAGGCGCUUGAGAGAACUCGGGUGAAGGAACUAGGCAAAAUGGUGCCGUAACUUCGGGAGAAGGCACGCUGACACGUAGGUGAAGUGAUUUACUCAUGGAGCUGAAGUCAGUCGAAGAUACCAGCUGGCUGCAACUGUUUAUUAAAAACACAGCACUGUGCAAACACGAAAGUGGACGUAUACGGUGUGACGCCUGCCCGGUGCCGGAAGGUUAAUUGAUGGGGUCAGCGCAAGCGAAGCUCCUGAUCGAAGCCCCGGUAAACGGCGGCCGUAACUAUAACGGUCCUAAGGUAGCGAAAUUCCUUGUCGGGUAAGUUCCGACCUGCACGAAUGGCGUAAUGAUGGCCAGGCUGUCUCCACCCGAGACUCAGUGAAAUUGAACUCGCUGUGAAGAUGCAGUGUACCCGCGGCAAGACGGAAAGACCCCGUGAACCUUUACUAUAGCUUGACACUGAACAUUGAGCCUUGAUGUGUAGGAUAGGUGGGAGGCUUUGAAGUGUGGACGCCAGUCUGCAUGGAGCCGACCUUGAAAUACCACCCUUUAAUGUUUGAUGUUCUAACGUGGACCCGUGAUCCGGGUUGCGGACAGUGUCUGGUGGGUAGUUUGACUGGGGCGGUCUCCUCCUAAAGAGUAACGGAGGAGCACGAAGGUUGGCUAAUCCUGGUCGGACAUCAGGAGGUUAGUGCAAUGGCAUAAGCCAGCUUGACUGCGAGCGUGACGGCGCGAGCAGGUGCGAAAGCAGGUCAUAGUGAUCCGGUGGUUCUGAAUGGAAGGGCCAUCGCUCAACGGAUAAAAGGUACUCCGGGGAUAACAGGCUGAUACCGCCCAAGAGUUCAUAUCGACGGCGGUGUUUGGCACCUCGAUGUCGGCUCAUCACAUCCUGGGGCUGAAGUAGGUCCCAAGGGUAUGGCUGUUCGCCAUUUAAAGUGGUACGCGAGCUGGGUUUAGAACGUCGUGAGACAGUUCGGUCCCUAUCUGCCGUGGGCGCUGGAGAACUGAGGGGGGCUGCUCCUAGUACGAGAGGACCGGAGUGGACGCAUCACUGGUGUUCGGGUUGUCAUGCCAAUGGCACUGCCCGGUAGCUAAAUGCGGAAGAGAUAAGUGCUGAAAGCAUCUAAGCACGAAACUUGCCCCGAGAUGAGUUCUCCCUGAGACUUUAAGUCUCCUGAAGGAACGUUGAAGACGACGACGUUGAUAGGCCGGGUGUGUAAGCGCAGCGAUGCGUUGAGCUAACCGGUACUAAUGAACCGUGAGGCUUAACCUUACA
rnacentral:rRNA from 1 species